CAGUAGCCGCGGGAAUACGAAGGGGGCUAGCGUUGCUCGGAAUUACUGGGCGUAAAGGGAGCGUAGGCGGACAUUUAAGUCAGGGGUGAAAUCCCGUGGCUCAACCUCGGAAUUGCCUUUGAUACUGGGUGUCUUGAGUAUGAGAGAGGUAUGUGGAACUCCGAGUGUAGAGGUGAAAUUCGUAGAUAUUCGGAAGAACACCAGUGGCGAAGGCGACAUACUGGCUCAUUACUGACGCUGAGGCUCGAAAGCGUGGGGAGCAAACAGGAUUAGAUACCCCCGUAGUCCCUGUCUCUUAUAC
rnacentral:rRNA from 1 species